rnacentral:rRNA from 1 species
UACGAAGGGGGCUAGCGUUGCUCGGAAUCACUGGGCGUAAAGCGCACGUAGGCGGAUCUUUAAGUCAGGGGUGAAAUCCCAAGGCUCAACCUUGGAACUGCCUUUGAUACUGGGGAUCUCGAGUCCGGAAGAGGUGAGUGGAACUGUGAGUGUAGAGGUGAAAUUCGUAGAUAUUCGCAAGAACACCAGUGGCGAAGGCGGCUCACUGGUCCGGUACUGACGCUGAGGUGCGAAAGCGUGGGGAGCAAACAGG